rnacentral:rRNA from 1 species
GAUGAACGCUGGCGGCGUGCUUAACACAUGCAAGUCGAACGGAAAGGCCCUGCUUUUGUGGGGUGCUCGAGUGGCGAACGGGUGAGUAACACGUGAGUAACCUGCCCUUGACUUUGGGAUAACUUCAGGAAACUGGGGCUAAUACCGGAUAGGAGCUCCUGCUGCAUGGUGUUGGUUGGAAAGUUUCGGCGGUUGGGGAUGUACUCGCGGCUUAUCAGCUUGUUGGUGGGGUAGUGGCUUACCAAGGCUUUGACGGGUAGCCGGCCUGAGAGGGUGAACGGCCACAUUGGGACUGAGAUACGGCCCAGACUCCUACGGGAGGCAGCAGUGGGGAAUAUUGCACAAUGGGCGGAAGCCUGAUGCAGCGACGCCGCGUGCGGGAUGACGGCCUUCGGGUUGUAAACCGCUUUCGCCUGUGACGAAGCGUGAGUGACGGUAAUGGGUAAAGAAGCACCGGCUAACUACGUG